UACGUAGGGUGCAAGCGUUGUCCGGAAUUAUUGGGCGUAAAGGGCGCGUAGGCGGUGCAUUUGGUCAGGCGUGAAAUUCCUGGGCUUAACCUGGGGACUGCGCUUGAGACGGGUGUGCUGGAGGGCAGGAGAGGCUCGCGGAAUUCCCAGUGUAGUGGUGAAAUGCGUAGAGAUCCGGAGGAACCCCAGAGGCGAAGGCGGCGCUCUGGCUCGCAACUGACGCUCAGACACGACAGCAUGGGGAGCGAACGGG
rnacentral:rRNA from 1 species